rnacentral:rRNA from 1 species
UAAUACUAGGGGUGCAAGCGUUGUCCGGAAUCAUUGGGCGUAAAGGGUCCGUAGGCGUCUCAUUAAGUCACUUGUUAAAGACACCGGCUUAACCGGUGGAAUGCAUGUGAAACUGUUGAGAUAGAGUAUAGGAGAGGAAAGUGGAAUUCCUGGUGUAGCGGUGACAUGCGUAGAUAUCAGGAGGAACACCAAUGGCGAAGGCAACUUUCUGGCCUAUUACUGACGCUGAGGGACGAAAGCGUGGGGAGCAAACAGGAUUAGAUACCCUGGUAGUCCACGCCGUAAACGAUGAGUACUUGGUGUCGGGGGAUUCAACCCCUUCGGUACCGGAGCUAACGCAUUAAGUACUCCGCCUGGGAACUACGACCGCAAGGUUG